GACGACGACUCCUACGGGAGGCAGCAGUGGGGAAUCUUGGACAAUGGGGGCAACCCUGAUCCAGCCAUGCCGCGUGAGUGAUGAAGGCCUUAGGGUCGUAAAGCUCUUUCGCCUGUGAUGAUAAUGACAGUAGCAGGUAAAGAAACCCCGGCUAACUCCGUGCCAGCAGCCGCGGUAAUACGGAGGGGGUUAGCGUUGUUCGGAAUUACUGGGCGUAAAGCGCGCGUAGGCGGAUUAGUCAGUUAGAGGUGAAAUCCCAGGGCUCAACCCUGGAACUGCCUUUAAUACUGCUAGUCUUGAGUUCGAGAGAGGUGAGUGGAAUUCCGAGUGUAGAGGUGAAAUUCGUAGAUAUUCGGAGGAACACCAGUGGCGAAGGCGGCUCACUGGCUCGAUACUGACGCUGAGGUGCGAAAGUGUGGGGAGCAAACAGGAUUAGAUACCCUGGUAG
rnacentral:rRNA from 1 species